rnacentral:rRNA from 1 species
UACGUAGGCAGCAAGCGUUGUUCGGAAUUACUGGGCGUAAAGAGUGUGUAGGCGGUGCUCUAAGUUCGGUGUGAAAUCUCCCGGCUUAACUGGGAGGGUGCGCCGGAAACUGGAGUGCUCGAGCGCGGGAGAGGAAAGCGGAAUUCCUGGUGUAGCGGUGAAAUGCGUAGAUAUCAGGAGGAACACCUGUGGUGUAGACGGCUUUCUGGACCGUAGCUGACGCUGAGACACGAAAGCGUGGGUAGCAAACAGGAUUAGAUACCCUGGUAGUCCACGCCCUAAACGAUGCAUACUUGGUGUGAGCCAUUCAGUUGGUUCGUGCCGGAGUUAACGCGUUAAGUAUGUCGCCUGGGGAGUACGGUCGCAAGGCUGAA